rnacentral:rRNA from 1 species
AAUGAACGUUGGCGGCGUGGAUUAGGCAUGCAAGUCGUGCGCUAAAUGUAGCAAUACAUGGUGAGCGGCGUAAGGGAGGGUAAUACGUAGGUAUUUACCUCGGGGUCUGGGAUAGCGGCGGGAAACUGCCGGUAAUACCAGAUGAUAUCUAAGGAUCAAAGGUGUGAUUCCGCCCUGAGAGAAGCCUGCGGUCUAUUAGCUAGUUGGUAAGGUAACGGCUUACCAAGGCAAAGAUGGAUAUGGGGCGUGAGAGCGUGCCCCCACUCACUGGGACUGAGACACUGCCCAGACACCUACGGGUGGCUGCAGUCGAGAAUCUUCGGCAAUGGGCGCAAGCCUGACCGAGCGACGCCGCGUGCGGGAUGAAGGCCUUCGGGUUGUAAACCGCUGUCGAAGGGGAGGAAAUUGUAGUGGGUUCACCCAUUAUAUUGACCGAUCCUUGGAGGAAGGGCCGGCUAAUCUCGUGCCAGCCGCCGCGGUAAGAC